UACGUAGGGCGCAAGCGUUGUCCGGAAUUAUUGGGCGUAAAGAGCUCGUAGGCGGUCUGUCGCGUCUGCUGUGAAAACCCGGGGCUCAACCCCGGGCCUGCAGUGGAUACGGGCAGGCUUGAGGUAGGUAGGGGAGACUGGAAUUCCUGGUGUAGCGGUGAAAUGCGCAGAUAUCAGGAGGAACACCGAUGGCGAAGGCGGCCACCUGGCCGACAACUGACGCUGAGGCGCGAAAGCGUGGGGAGCAAACAGG
rnacentral:rRNA from 1 species